CCUACGGGAGGCAGCAGUGAGGAAUAUUGGUCAAUGGACGAGAGUCUGAACCAGCCAAGUAGCGUGAAGGAUGACUGCCCUAUGGGUUGUAAACUUCUUUUAUAUGGGAAUAAAACGUUCCACGUGUGGGAUUUUGUAUGUACCAUAUGAAUAAGGAUCGGCUAACUCCGUGCCAGCAGCCGCGGUAAUACGGAGGAUCCGAGCGUUAUCCGGAUUUAUUGGGUUUAAAGGGAGCGUAGGUGGAUUGUUAAGUCAGUUGUGAAAGUUUGCGGCUCAACCGUAAAAUUGCAGUUGAAACUGGCAGUCUUGAGUACAGUAGAGGUGGGCGGAAUUCGUGGUGUAGCGGUGAAAUGCUUAGAUAUCACGAAGAACUCCGAUUGCGAAGGCAGUUCACUGGACUGCAACUGACAUUGAGGCUCGAAAGUGUGGGUAUCAAACAGGAGUAGAUACCCUUGUAGUC
rnacentral:rRNA from 1 species